rnacentral:rRNA from 1 species
CCUACGGGAGGCAGCAGUGGGGAAUAUUGCACAAUGGGGGAAACCCUGAUGCAGCGACGCCGCGUGAGUGAAGAAGUAAUUCGUUAUGUAAAGCUCUAUCAGCAGGGAAGAAAAUGACGGUACCUGAGUAAGAAGCCCCGGCUAACUACGUGCCAGCAGCCGCGGUAAUACGUAGGGGGCAAGCGUUAUCCGGAUUUACUGGGGGUAAAGGGAGCGUAGACGGCAGUGCAAGUCUGGAGUGAAAGGCGGGGGCUCAACCCCCGGACUGCUCUGGAAACUGUACGGCUGGAGUGCAGGAGAGGUAAGUGGAAUUCCUAGUGUAGCGGUGAAAUGCGUAGAUAUUAGGAGGAACACCAGUGGCGAAGGCGGCUUGCUGGACUGAAACUGACGCUGAGGCUCGAAAGCGUGGGGAGCAAACAGGAUUAGAUACCCUUGUAGUC